UAACAACUAAAAAAGUGACACAAAAGUAAAAGAGUCAACAAAAAAGCAAAGAAUUUCAAAAACAUUCAAGGAUGACCAAUUCACAUAAGGGGAGUCAGAAGAAUGGCACAGUGGUGGUGGUGUGGUGGAGAACCAGGAGUUGGUGACACUUACCAGAAUGGGUCCUGAGGUGUCCUGUGAGGGCGUCCCUUCUUCUACAGGCGUAGCUACAGAAAGGACAUUUGAACGGCUUCUCUCCAGAGUGUAACUUUAUGUGUCUCAGAAGGUUGCCCUUCUGAGUAAAAGAAGCUCCACACUGGUUACAGUGGAAGGGGCGUUCACCUGCAGUAAAGAGAAGAAAUGGGAAGUAUCAACUAGGAAAAGUUGGAAUUUUGUUAGCACAGCCUUCAUUCUGGAUUGCUGACAGAGUCUUUUCGUAAAGCAGAAACAAGCUUUAAUGGAAUGCAGGUGUAGCAGAUUGCCAGUUUGAGGUAAAGAGAAAGUUGUCUGAGUAAGCCUGUUUUGGAAGAAGACCAGCUUACACUGCCAAAUUUCCUGAGCGUGGAUUUCAUUUCAUAUAAGAGCAAUCUACUUUGAACUGGUGUUUGGCAACCAUCUGCUUAACGUAACUGUAAGAGGCUUGUGAAGCAAAUUACAUUGUGAAAUUAUCUUUUUAAUAAGAGCAGUACAAAAUUCUUAACCUAACUUCUGUAAGAAGUAAAAUCCAGCUGAGUGGGUAUGUUCCCAAAGGGACCCACAAGGAUUCCCUGAGGUCACUAAGGACGCUUAAACAAGGUCAGAAGGCAAGGCUGCUGGCGGCUCAACAGAAAGAGAUAAGGAAGAGAGCAGGAUUUCUAUCACUGGGCAACGGCAACAGAGGGAGGAGCCAAAGCAGUGCAACACUCUUCAGCAGCUUUACCGGGUCUCUGAAGUGAAGCAACAGGGGAACCCAACAGGUUUCCAUACCCCAGGUUCAAACAUCCCUGGGUCAUACACAUUGAGAUCAAGGCUACAAAAGUUCUUUCCCUGCUGUUCUUCCAUAAACACUGUACUACUGGUCUGAGUCAAAUUAAACAGAGUCUGCAUUUGGCCCUGAGAUGCAGGAUUGGUCAGUUAGAAAUUAAUAACCAGUAAGAUCUAUCAAGUAGUGAGAAAGAGAAAACUUGUGGUGAUUAAGGGGAAUUAAAGCAAUUUUUGACAGAUCAGUGCCAGAUACUUAUUUUCCACAAUGUAGCAGCAGCAGUUUGUUGUUGUUGUUGUUGUUGUUCUUCUUCUUCUUCACAAUGCUCAUACCUAGUUUUCUACUCCUAAUGAAUGAAUGAACAUUUUAAGUAGGAUUACAGAAUGCAAAUAAUUAAAGGCAAAAACAUUUACAAAGCAUCCUAUGAAGUAUUUAAAUCAUGGAAAUACCAGAUUAUAACAUCUAUGUUUAAAUGCUUACAUAUAUAAAUGUUAGGAAGCCACUUGCUAGCUCCCUGCUUCCUACUGUAUAAAGUGAAGAUAAUAUCCUCUACAUUAAAACUGUGAAGACUGGAAAAGCAUGCAAUCACUUAAAGCAAGCAACAUAGCCCUGUGGUUAAAGAGCAAGGGCUCUAGGUCCAGCACCCUGGAGUUUAAGGCCAGGUUCAUUCAUUUAUAAGUCACAUGACCUUAGGAAACCUAAGUUUCAAUUUUCUCAUCUAUAAAAUCAAAAUAAUGACAACAGCUGCCUCCUAGGGUUGUCCUGAGUAUUAAAUAAAAUUGUAUAAACAAUACACUUGGAACUACUUGCUUCUUAUUAAUAUAUCUAGGUGAAAGCAUUUCAUAAGUAUCAACAUCAAACAAACAUAAAUCUGGGGUUAUGUUUACUACAUGGAAGUACAGGGAAGAUGCAGAAGGCUUUAUGAAGGAAAUGGCAUGUAAAAUAGUACUAAUAAGUUGGAUAUGACUUAUAUAAAAGAAGAACUAGGUGGCACUCAAGAUAGGGGCAAGCAUGAGGAGAGGAAAAAGGCAUGAGUACAUGUUGGUUGUGAAUGACACCAUUUUUUCCGGAAUGGAUACACUCAAUGGAUAAUAUACAAUAGAACAUAUUCUAAAACCGCAGAGCAUUUAAAAUUGAGCAAAGUACAAGAGAAUUAAUGCUUGAACGGCAGUUAAUUUCAAAAGACAAAUGCUGUUAACUUAUUAAUAGGACAACCAAGUAUGAAGAACUCUUAAGAAAUCAUUCAAAAUUACUCACUGAGCACCUGCUCUGUACCAGGCACCAUGAGGCAGUAGUGAACAAGACAGAUAUAUUCCCUGCUUUUAUGGCACUAGUGAAAGGUGGAGACAAGAAGAGAUCACAAUCCCACUGCAAGUGUCUGUCUGUGUGGAAGGAGAAGUAUAAAGGCACAGAAUUGGGAAGAAGCAAGGCUCAAAGCAAUUCACUUAAAUUCCUGAACUAAGGACUUGUAGCCCUACCAUAUAUCCCUUUAUCAGAAAGCAGAAUAUUUACUGUUGAAAAUACAUGUCAGUAUCAACUGGU